GUCCUGCUGCGCAUGUAAAGUCACCUCUCCUCUGUCCCUGAGCAGAUGUCAUUUCGUAGGGAGAUUUUCUUGUGCCUUUAGCAGGUGAGAAGCAUAGUCAGUACCGUCUCCGCCCUCCUCAGAACACUCAUAGGCUCUGGCAUCGCCUGCUAGCAAGCUUUUAUGUGUCAGUGGACACAGAAAUCUUGUUUCCUAUGGAAACGAGUCUCACUUUGGAGAACUGUUGCUGAUGACAUCAUCCAUUAUCUUGUGCUUGCUCUGCUCAGGAUGGAUCUUCAGAUCGGCUUCGGGAGGUCUCCCACGAGAGCCGAGCUUCUGCUUUUCCAACAAGAUCCUGAGAGACGCCCACCCCACUGCUCCAUCCACGAGUCAGACUUCGAGUGGCAAGAUUACUUCUGCUUCCCUGAAAUACCUCCCACCGCAUUCGGACACUCUUGGUUUGUAUGAGUGAAAUGAGGUGUCUUCCCUGUAAGAUCAUUCUCAGCUCAAGACUGACCGUCCUAGUGCUUCUUGUCUCUUCCCUGGCUAACAGCGAGGAAGGGCAUGUUCCAAUGCACCUACUCCCA
rnacentral:lncRNA from 1 species